CGGUGUGAGAUGGUCACAUGAGGUACAGUGUGAUGGUGGAACACACUGCAUCCCAAGUGAUCACCCUACAUGGC
rnacentral:pre_miRNA from 1 species